rnacentral:rRNA from 1 species
AGAACGAACGCUGGCGGCAUGCCUAACACAUGCAAGUCGAACGCUCUCUUCGGAGGGAGUGGCGCACGGGUGAGUAACGCGUGGGAACCUGCCUUGGAGUGGGGGAUAACCGAUGGAAACGUCGGCUAAUACCGCAUACGUCCUGAGGGAGAAAGAUUUAUCGCUCUGAGAGGGGCCCGCGUCGGAUUAGCUAGUUGGUGGGGUAACGGCCUACCAAGGCGAUGAUCCGUAGCUGGUCUGAGAGGAUGAUCAGCCACACUGGGACUGAGACACGGCCCAGACUCCUACGGGAGGCAGCAGUGGGGAAUAUUGGACAAUGGGCGCAAGCCUGAUCCAGCAAUGCCGCGUGAGUGAUGACGGCCUUAGGGUUGUAAAGCUCUUUCGGCGGGGACGAUGAUGACGGUACCCGCAGAAGAAGCCCCGGCUAACUUCGCGCCAGCAGCCGC